rnacentral:rRNA from 1 species
AAAACAUAACCUUUAGCCAAACAAAUAUUAAAGGCAACGCCUGCCCAGUGAACAAUUAAACGGCCGCGGUACCCUAACCGUGCAAAGGUAGCAUAAUCAUUUGUCUACUAAUUAUAGACCUGUAUGAAAGGCAAAAUGAGGGCCUAACUGUCUCUUAUAAUGAAUCAAUUAAACUGAUCUUCUAGUAAAAAAGCUAGAAUUCCUACAUAAGACCAGAAGACCCUGUGAAGCUUAAACUAAAUUAUUAAAUCAUAUAAUAACUACUUUCGGUUGGGGCGACUUCCAACAAUAAUGACUAUCCAUACCACCCUAGGCCAACAAGCCAGUAAACGACCCAGCAUAGCUGAUCACCGAACCAAGUUACUCCAGGGAUAACAGCGCAAUCCUCUUCAAGAGCCCAUAUCAAAAAGAGGGUUUACGACCUCGAUGUUGGAUCAGGACAUCCUAAUGGUGCAGCCGCUAUUAAGGGUUCGUUUGUUCAACGAUUAAUAGUCCUACGUGAUCUGA